AAGGAUUUAGUUAAAACAUAACCUUAAAAUGUCAAUUUAAAAUUACCUGUAAGGUACUCCUUG
rnacentral:tRNA from 1 species